rnacentral:rRNA from 1 species
GACGAACGCUGGCGGCGUGCUUAACACAUGCAAGUCGAACGAAGUGGCGAACGGGUGAGUAACGCGUAAUCCACCUGCCCUUCAUAGGGGGUCAACAGUUGGAAUCGACUGCUAAUAUCGCAUACUGAUGGUGGGUGUUGCGUCUGUUUAGGAAGGUGGAGGGGUAACGGCCCACCAGGGCGAGGAUCAGUCGCCCGAAUGAGAGGAUGAACGGCCACCUUGGGAGUGAGACCGGGCCCAGACUCCUACGGGAGGCAGCAGUAGGGAUUCGUCCGAAAGGGAGGAAAAACGGACGGAGAAACGGGGCGGGAGGGAUGAGGGCCUUCGGGUUGUAAAUGUCUGUUAUCCGGGAGGCGGUACCGGAAGAGAAAGCCACGGCUAACUACGUGCCAGCAGCCGCGGUAAUAC